AUUGAACGCUGGCGGCAGGCCUAACACAUGCAAGUCGAGCGGAUGAAGGGAGCUUGCUCCUGGAUUCAGCGGCGGACGGGUGAGGAAUGCCUAGGAAUCUGCCUGGUAGUGGGGGAUAACGUCCGGAAACGGGCGCUAAUACCGCAUACGUCCUGAGGGAGAAAGUGGGGGAUCUUCGGACCUCACGCUAUCAGAUGAGCCUAGGUCGGAUUAGCUAGUUGGUGGGGUAAAGGCCUACCAAGGCGACGAUCCGUAACUGUCUGAGAGGAUGAUCAGUCACACUGGAACUGAGACACGGUCCAGACUCCUACGGGAGGCAGCAGUGGGGAAUAUUGGACAAUGGGCGAAAGCCUGAUCCAGCCAUGCCGCGUGUGUGAAGAAGGUCUUCGGAUUGUAAAGCACUUUAAGUUGGGAGGAAGGGCAGUAAGUUAAUACCUUGCUGUUUUGACGUUACCAACAGAAUAAGCACCGGCUAACUUCGUG
rnacentral:rRNA from 1 species